rnacentral:rRNA from 1 species
UGAUCAUGGCUCAGAACAAACGCUGGCGGCGUGCCUAACACAUGCAAGUCGAACGAGAAAUCCCGAGCUUGCUUGGGAGAGUAAAGUGGCGCACGGGGAGUAACGCGUGGGUAACCUACCUUUGAAUCUGGAAUAACCAGCCGAAAGGCUGACUAAUACCGGAUACGGUUUUUAGGACUUAGGUUCUUUAAAUUAAAGGUGACCUCUUCAUGAAAGUUGCCGUUCAUAGAUGGGCCCGCGUACCAUUAGCUAGUCGGUGGGGUAAUGGCCUACCAAGGCGACGAUGGUUAGCUGGUCUGAGAGGAUGAUCAGCCACACUGGAACUGGAACACGGUCCAGACUCCUACGGGAGGCAGCAGUGAGGAAUUUUGCGCAAUGGGGGAAACCCUGACGCAGCAACGCCGCGUGAGCGAAGAAGGCCCUCGGGUCGUAAAGCUCUGUCAAGUGGGAAAAAAAUCUUUUGAUCAAUAGUCAAAAGACUUGAUGGUACCACUGGAGGAAGCACCGGCUAACUCCGUGCCAGCAGCCGCGGUAAUACGGAGGGUGCAAGCGUUGUUCGGAUUUACUGGGCGUAAAGAGCGUGUAGGCGGUUUAGCAAGUCAGAUGUGAAAGCCCUGGGCUCAACCCGGGAAGUGCAUUUGAAACUGCUUCACUAGAGUAUGGGAGAGGAGAUUGGAAUUCCUGGUGUAGAGGUGAAAUUCGUAGAUAUCA